rnacentral:rRNA from 1 species
UACGAAGGGGGCUAGCGUUGUUCGGAAUUACUGGGCGUAAAGCGCGUGUAGGCGGGUCUUUUAGUCAGGGGUGAAAUGCCAAGGCUCAACCUUGGAACUGCCUUUGAUACUGGAGACCUUGAGUCCGGGAGAGGUGAGUGGAAUUGCGAGUGUAGAGGUGAAAUUCGUAGAUAUUCGCAAGAACACCAGUGGCGAAGGCGGCUCACUGGCCCGGAACUGACGCUGAGAUGCGAAAGCGUGGGGAGCAAACAGG